ACAUGCCUACAACAUAGCAUUAAUGCACUGGAUCCCAUUAGAACUUUGCUAUUAAGUGCGCUUGGGCUAGAGUAGUACUAGGAUGGGUGACCUCCUAGGAAGUCCUAGUGUUUUACAUGCC
rnacentral:rRNA from 1 species